rnacentral:rRNA from 1 species
UACGAGAGGCCCAAACGUUAUUCGGAUUUACUGGGCUUAAAGAGUUCGUAGGCGGCGCAGAAAGUAGGGUGUGAAAGCCCUCGGCUCAACCGAGGAAUUGCGCUCUAAACUACUGUGCUUGAGGAAGCUAGAGGUGAGCGGAACUGAUGGUGGAGCGGUGAAAUGCGUUGAUAUCAUCAGGAACACCGGUGGCGAAAGCGGCUUACUGGGUCUCUUCUGACGCUGAGGUAACGAAAGCUAGGGGAGCGAACGGG